rnacentral:rRNA from 1 species
UACGUAGGGCGCAAGCGUUGUCCGGAAUUAUUGGGCGUAAAGAGCUCGUAGGCGGUUUGUCGCGUCUGCUGUGAAAACCUAAGGCUCAACCUUGGGCUUGCAGUGGGUACGGGCAGACUAGAGUGCGGUAGGGGUGACUGGAAUUCCUGGUGUAGCGGUGGAAUGCGCAGAUAUCAGGAGGAACACCGAUGGCGAAGGCAGGUCACUGUGCCGCAACUGACGCUGAGGAGCGAAAGCAUGGGGAGCGAACAGG